GAAUUCGGUUUCCGACCGGUAGUCCCGUCAGCGCGGCGCGACGUGCACGUCGCCGGACGCGCUCGUCCGUCCCCGCGGCGGCAUCUGCAUAGCCCAUAAACGCGUAUGUACAUGUAUGUAUCACAGGCGCCCGCGUUUCGCCUCCACCGCCACCUGCAAGUCAUCGGCCCGGGCGCACGCGCGAUAUAGUAUUGUUAUUGUCGUCGUACUAUACCUAUAUACAUCACACCGCACUGCCGCAGCUGUCGUCGACACACGACUCGCGACGAGCACCGUUCGUCGCACACCUGUACACAAUAUUAAUGACGAUAAUAAUAUUAAAUAGUACAAUAGUAAUGCCAUCGGUUUCCCCGUCCGAAACGUUUAAAUCGAACGGGUUUUUUUUUCAAUUCACGUCCAAGUAAUGUAAUUAUUUAUCAUCGCAAUUACCCAUAACCACAGCCACGGACGUCCGUUACGGUUUUAGGCCGCGUUCAAGUGCACACGAGGAAAUGCAUUUACUCUCAUUCAAGUUCAACUUCAAGAAUUAUACCAACACCAAGCUACGCCCAUGAUAAGCCAUCAUCUAUCAACAUAAAAUCAAAAAGAUACCUAUAUGCGAACGUAUCGUUAAAAAUUGUACAUACAGACAAUACAUAUUAUGAUUACCUACCUUGCUGCUUUUCAAAACAAGUCCGUCGAAAUGGUGCCCGUCAGUCAGUCCGAUUCUACAGGCCUCGAAAACGGUUGUUCUACACGAUUUCAUAAAAUAGCGACGACGGAACCGUGUAUAAUGUAUAAGAGGAUGCACACAACCGACGGAUAUUUAGACAUAAAGAAUGUAAUAAUAUUAGGCAUACUAUAUUGUUAGGUUUGUUAUUAUUGUUGUAAAUUUUUUUUUCGUUGAUACCCGUGGUGAACAUUGUCUAUCACAAUCGGUGAUGAAAAACGAUCUGCGAACCUUGGCACUGGAAGAAUUCACAGACUAAUUAUUGAAGAUCGUGAGUCUCCUGGUGUCAACUAUUGCGGAUCGAUAACACUACGAUUGUUGAAUAUAAUUAUAUACUACGACGGUUUCAAGCACAAUAUAUGCAUAUAUAUAUAUAUAUA